GCCUGUAGUCCCAGCUACUCCGGGGGCUGAGACAGGAGAACUUCUUGAACCUGGGAGGCGGAGGUUGCAGUGAGCUGAGACGGUGCCACUGCACUCCAGCCUGGCGACAGAGUGAGACUCUGUCUCAAAAAUAAAUAAAUAAAUAAAUAAAUAUAGAUAGAAUGUGUUUGAAGUCCUUGUGAUGAAUUUAGGACAGUAAGCAUGUUGAUAGAUCUGCCAGGCUACAGUUCAAAUACUGUUGAGUUCCAUGCAAUAAACAGUUGAGCUGGUUCUCUCCAACCCUCCAGAGGAAUAAAGCCAUUACUUGAUGCUGGGUUCUCACUGCCUGUGCCGUGCACCCCUCUGGCAGCGUGGUGAACCUUAUGGAUGCCUGAUCAGAAUGAUGUUUCUAAUAUAUGAAAUAAAUAAAAUAAAUGAUAUAGUUUGGAUGUGUGCCCCCACCCACCCCUCAAAUCUCAUGUGGAAUUUUCAUCCCCAGUGUUGGAGGAGGGGCUUGGUGGAAGGUGAUUGGAUCAUUGAGGUGGAUUUCCCUCUUGCUGUUCUCAUGAUCGUGAGUGAGUUCUCAUGAGAUCUGGUUGUUUAAAAGCGCAUAGCAUCUCCUUCUCUCUCUCUUUUCCUCCUGCUCUGGCCAUGUGACAUGCCUGCUUCUUCUUUGCCUUCUGCCAUGGUUAUAAGUUUCCUGAGGCCUCCCCAGAAGCAGAAGCCUGUACAGCCUAAAGAACUGUAAGCCUAUUAAGCCUCUUUUCUUUGUAAAUUACAAUCUCAGGUAUUUCUUUAUAGCAGCGUGAGAACAGACUAAUACAAUAAAACACAUGGGAUGGGUGUAUUGUACUUUCUAAAGGUAGUGUGAUGGUGUCCCCCAGGCCACAUGCUUUUCUCUCAUCUGAACUUGUCACUCCCCCACCAAGUCCAUUUCUCUACCUCCUGGAAUUCAGGAAGCCCUGAGAAUCCCUGGACCAAUAGAAUAUGGAGGGAGUGAUGGUGUAGCAGCUCUGAAUGUAGCUCUUGACCGUCCCAGCACCUCUUCCCUCUUUGUGAGAAGCAGGCUUGUGUAAGAAGCAUGACCGCCUAAGACCACCACACUGUGGGAAGGCCAAGGCCCGUGUAAUGAGGUACCAUGUUCAGAGGAAGACCAAGGAGCACCAAGGAGGCAGCAGACUGAGUGGAGAGGAAUAUGCAGGGGAUGCUGUGUAGUCAGAAUCAAGCUUCCCAGUGUCACUCAAAGAAGCAGCAAGACUCUGUCUUAACGUGGCUUGCUGUUGCUAUUAUUUCCCUCGAAGCCAUGAGACACUGGAUGAGAGCAGCGGCUGGGCGUGUGAGUUAACAUCGCAUGCUUUCCUGACUCCACUGCCCCACUCAUGAGGUCAUAGCAUAGCUUCUUGAAUUUGUCCUUCUCUGAAUGGAAGCCACUUGGAUCCUCCAGGUAUUUCUCCAAGGGGCAGGGCUUUCAGCACAGAAUCAACAGGAGAAACCAUCUGGAAAGCCCAGAGGCGUGUUCGGCAGCGUGUGGGAGCAGAGCUGCAGUAAACGGUGGCUCCUUGUUCGCCCAUCUCAGCUGUUCAGCUGACUUCUUGCCGUCUCCAGCUGUCUUCUCUAUCUCAUCCUGAUGACUCCUUCCCACAACUCUUUCCCUGGCUGCCGCAACGGUCCAGCUGCAGCCUGCAUUCACAGUUACUUACCUGUGGGGCUUUCUUGUUUCUGAGAUGGCCGAAUUGUCUUCUGAAAUUUACCUCCAUGACUCUGGUUAUAUAUUUUGGUUCCUAGUGGGUGCCGACAUCACAGUGGGCUGAUUAGAUGGUUUGCAUUACUUGUUGGCAGGCCUUCGAGCCUCCUGUGCAGUUUCCCGAAAAUAUUCCAUCUGCAGGUGGGAAGCCCAAGCCCCUGGGCAAAUUAUGCCAUGAGUGUGUCUUGGCAGUCAUUCUGGGUUCCAAUGACUUGGGCCGUGGUUCAAACAUUCCCUGGGGAUUGUCCGGAUCUGAGCUCCUGGUGGUGGGAAGCCAGCCUUUGGUGCCAGCCUGGCCCAGCACCAUCUCUUGACUCCUGACCCCACCAGAGGGUGAGGACUUGGUGUGAGCAGGGACACAGCAGGUCCCAGGAAAGUCUGCUGAGUGAACGGGUGAAUAAAAUAGUCUCAAACCCUGUAUGUUAUUCCCUCCUUGCCCCUACUCAGAACUCCUCCUCACUUCCAAUCGGAACUUGUCUCCUCUCUGCCAGAAGGUCAGCCCUGGUGAUUCCUGGAGUUCAUGCCUCCUGUCCCGCCAUGGUUCUGUGGACUGCUGGCUGUUGUGGGGAGCUAUCUUCCUGGUGAGCUUUGCAGGGCAGGGUCCCAGCAGGAGAGCAGAAGCAAGAUGCAUGGUGCAGAUGAGGGAUUCUUUCCAGUGGUUAGACCCUGCAGGACCAUGGGGGAGCUGGGCAGAAAAGUACAAGGGGUGUUGGAGAAUCUGAGAAAAGGCAUCAACCAGCCUUCCUGAAUCCCUGGCCUGUGGCAAGAAAGGCAAGUCAGAGCAUGGGCCAUGGGGCACAAAGGGGAGUAGGUGGGGUCUAUGGACUGCCACCACCUCUAGCAUAAAGUCCAGGCUCAAUGUCUGCUGCUGGGCCUGGGGCCUCUUGUGGUCAGUGGGAAGGGUCAGGCCCAGAGGAGGGAGGGCAGCUCUGUGUUUGCUUGUCACUGUAGAGGCCAUGACAACCUUCAGGGUACAAGCUGCUGCUUCACUUCCAUUUUGCAAAUCUCAGGCAGAACCCCUCUUUUGGCCAACUCUCUACAUGGAAGAGGGUUCUGGAAAGAUAAUCCCAGUUACAUCAUGUGUGACCCAGGUUCAUCAUGUAAUACUAACUGCCGUGGCUGGAUCUCAGAUUUCUUUGUGUGCCAUUGAGUGUUUUACCCAGGGCAGAUACAAAUGAGUGAUGGGGAGGAAACAGGCUAAGGGGGCAAAUGCAAUGCUUUUGUUGACCCAGCCUUCAUUAUGGGUUCACUACUGAUCACCAUACCAGCAAAUGCUGCCUCCUGCCCCAAGGCCGUGAUAAGGAGCACUUGAAAGCAGUCUGUCCAUUUCCAAAAUAUUGUCACUUCAAGAAUGAUGUGUAAAUGGCAUCAUACAGUGUGGAACCUUUUGGGAUUGGCUUUUUUCACUCAGCAUAAUUCUCUGGAGAUUCAUCCAAGUUUUAUGUAUCAACAGUCCAUUCCGUCUAAUGGCUGAGUGGUGUUCCACAGUCUGGGUGUGCACACAGUGUUUAACCAUUCACCUGUGAGCUGAAGGACAUCUGGGUUGACGAUUACACAUUUUUGACUACUACAAAUAAAGCUGCCAUGAACAUUCAUGGUGCAAGUUUUUGUGUGAAUGUAAGUUUUCAUUUCUCCGGGAUAAAUGCUCAAGAACACAACUGUACGGGCGUUGCAUAUUUAGUUUUAUGAGAAAUGACUAAACUGUUUUUCGGAGUGGCUGUACCAGUUUACAGCUCACCAAUACUUUAUUAUUCCUAAAAUAAAAUAUUACUAAGUUAAUUGUCGGGGAGGGCAGUGGUGGAUGUGGCCAUGAAAGGACAGCAGGAGGGAUCCUUUGGGUGAUGAAAAUGUUCAGUAUGUUUGGUAUCUUGACUGUGGGGGUGAAUACACCAAUGUAUAUGUGAGAAGAUCGUAUAGAACUAAACACACACACACACACGAACACACACACACAAACACAUACACACAGAUGAGUCCUUGUGCAUAUAUAACUGGGCAAUCUGAACAUGACACAUGGGUUGCAUCAAUGUCAAUACCUGGCGGUGAAAUCGUAUUCUAGUUUUGCCAAGAUGUUACCACUGGGAAAACUGGGUAAAAGUAACUGCAUGUGAAUCUACAAUUAUCUAACAAUUUAAAAAAUUAAUUAACAAGUGUCUAAAAUACAUGAUAUUUGUUAAAAGGCAAGCCUAUGAAAAACAUGAUACAUUAUUAAGAGUUAGGCAAAUGUUGUUGUUACUUGCUUUUCUGCUUUUGGGGGCCAAGUACUGGUUACUAAGAUUCCUAGCCUCUUCCGAAGGCGGUCCUUCCUCCACACAACUGCAAGAAGAGGCCUUUUCAGUGUAGACCCUUACUUUACCCCUCCACCCCAGGGCCCAUUUUAGGGAAUAGAAAAGCAAUUUGGAAGGAUUAGACUGAGGGACCCGUGCCUCCAGCAGAUAGGCCAGCGGAAGAGCAGUCAGUGCUGUGGGAGAUGCUGCGGGGAGGAGCGUGUCUGCGAG
rnacentral:lncRNA from 10 species